UCUGUGUUCUGAUUGGACAUUUAAAGCAGCGCCAUCAUUGAUGGUAUCAGAUCCAUUUCACACGUUGUUGAAGUUCAGUCUGAAGUCACUUUAAGUCUCAAAGCUUCACUUUAACCUGCAAAGACCAACAAUGUCUCAUUUCCUACUGAUUCUUCUCCCCACACUGCACCACUACACCGGAUAUCAGGACUCCACACUCUCCAAACUCCCAGUGUUAAAAUUCAGUCAUGAAACAUUUUGGCAGAUACAAGAAGAUUCUUCUACUGUUUUCUCUUCUUCAGUUUUUAAAGAUGAACAUCAUGAUCCACACUGACACACAUUCAUAUUCUUUGGUUCCCUGGAUUAAAACGGAGCCUCUGCUCUUUAUUUAUCCUGUGCUUGUUUCUCGACUCACAGUUCAGUCUGUUAAACCUGCUUCCUGCAAUAGGAGCAAAUAUCCACUGAAAGCAGCAGAAAGACGUGCUGAGUGUGAAGCUGUCAGCAGGGGGAAUAACACAGGGCUGUGAAUGAGUCCUGUCACUGUGAUCAGGCUCCUCCUUCUAAUCCACCAACUUAGUGUUGAUGAAGACUAAACAGAGAGAUCACAGCUUCUUUAUACUUGCUGUAGCUCACAGUUACUCUACACUGCAGAUAUGACGCCUCUGUUCAUCUCAGUGCUGCUGGCUGCUAUGUGCCUCGAAUGCAGAGCACAAAAAGACAACGUGCUGCAAGCAAAAGGAGAAGAGACUGCUGCUGCAGGAGGCACAGUGACACUUCACUGUCUCUAUAACGGCAGUGCAACAACUAAUUAUCUCUUCUGGUACAAACAGGAUGGAAACAACAGCCCCGAAUUCAUCCUGAUGCGCUAUAGUGGGGAUCAAGGAAACACAGCAGACGAGUUCAAGGAGAGAUUUUCAUCCACACUGGAUUCCAGCAUCAGAUCAGUUCCUCUGAAGAUCCAGAAGCUUCAGCUGUCUGACUCUGCUGUGUACUACUGUGCUCUGCGGCCCACAGUGACAGGAAACAGCAAAACUCUGUACAAAAACCUUUGGAGCAAAGACAACAGAAUACUCCACAACAUCCACUAGAGGGAGCCACACACU